rnacentral:lncRNA from 1 species
GCCGCUGUCGGCUGGGCCCGCCCGGAGAGGCCGAGACAAAGGCGCCGCGGCUCCGCGAGGGGACCCGCCGGCCCUCCCCGGGCCGCGGCCAGCUCCUCCCUCCAGGCCGCCCGCUUACCUGUGGGCGGAGAGCGCGCCGCGGACCCCGGCCCCGUCUAACGCGCCCGGUCGCCAGCUGCCGCCGCCGCCACCGCCACCGCCACCGUCACCGCCGCCACCGCGGGCCGCGCCUCCACCUCUCCCGGCACCGAGACCGACGGGACACCCUGGGCCGCCGCCCUCGAGAGCGCGCCCGCCCGGCAGCCCGGCUUCCCUGCCGCCGCCGCCGCCGCCCCGCGCGCUCUCGAGCUCGCCGCGCGCGCCCGCUAAGUACCACACACUGCGGCGGCCGCCAUGAGCGGGAGCGCGCACCGAACCCGGCUGGGCGGGGCUUCCCACGGCCACGCACGCGCAGAAGCGGCUGGCGGCUGCUGCCCGCACUCGGUGGCGGUUGGCGUCGAGACGCUUCGGUUACCGGAGCAGCGUCCCGAGCAUCCCCACGAGGCGGCUGCGCUGUCUCGGGCCGUUACUGUGGGAUUGACUGGGUUCGCGCCGUCCUCUCUCCGGGUCCGCGGUCUGUAGCGGCCUCCACGACCCCACUCCUGGAGGAGAAGAGGGCCGCGCCUCCCGGUAGGCUCGUUGAAAGCUGGCCAGUAAGAAGCACGCCUUUAAGUCCACUUUCCCACUCAUCUGGGAAGCUGAUGUUGGGGACUGUCCACCCUGCUGCUUUAGGUUAAAAAACGGAGCCGUGCACUAGGCAAGCAGAAGCAGGAUCUUCACAAGUUUGGGGCCAGUCUGGUUUAUACAGAGUUUUCUGGGACUUCCCGGGGAGACCUUUUAUCCAAAAUAAAUGAAGACCUCAUCUC